rnacentral:rRNA from 1 species
CUGGUUGAUCCUGCCAGUAGUCAUAUGCUUGUCUCAAAGACUAAGCCAUGCAUGUCUAAGUAUAAAUGUUAUACAGUGAAACUGCGAAUGGCUCAUUAAAACAGUUAUAGUUUAUUUGAUAAUCGAAUUUACAUGGAUAACCGUGGUAAUUCUAGAGCUAAUACAUGCUGGUUAGCCUGACUUCGAGGAAGGGCUGUAUUUAUUAGAUAACAAACCAAUAUUCUUCGUGUCUAUUGUGAUGACUCAUAAUAACUGAUCGAAUCGCAUGGUCCUUGGCCGCGAUAAAUCAUUCAAGUUUCUGCCCCAUCAGCUUUCGAUGGUAGUGUAUUGGACUACCAUGGCUUUAACGGGUAACGGAGGAUUAGGGUUCGAUUCCGGAGAGGGAGCCUGAGAAACGGCUACCACAUCUAAGGAAGGCAGCAGGCGCGUAAAUUACCCAAUCCUGACUCAGGGAGGUAGUGACAAGAAAUAACGGACCGAGGCUUUGCUUCGGGAUUGCAAUGAGUAGAAUUUAAACCCCUUUACGAGGAUCCAUUGGAGGGCAAGUCUGGU